rnacentral:rRNA from 1 species
UACAUGUGGGGCAAGCGUUGUUCGGAAUUACUGGGCAUAAAGGGUGCGUAGGCGGCUUGCUAAGUCAGUGGUGAAAUCGUCCGGCCCAACCGGACACGUGCCAAUGAUACUGGUGAGCUUGAGUGCGUGAGGGGUAGGGGGAACGAGCAGUGUAGCGGUGAAAUGCGUAGAUAUUGCUCGGAAGGCCAAAGCCGAAGGGACCCUACUGGUGCGCAACUGACGCUGAGGCACGAAAGCGUGGGGAGCAAACAGGAUUAGAUACCCGAGUAGU